rnacentral:rRNA from 1 species
CCCUUAGAUGUUCUGGGCCGCACGCGUGCUACACUGAGUGGAUCAGCGGGUCAGGUUACGCGAGAGCGUUUCCUAAUCUUCAAAUCCGCUCGUGAUGGGGAUUGACGGUUGCAAUUUUCCGUCAUGAACGAGGAAUACCUUGUAAGCGCGGGUCAUCAUCCCGCGCUGAAUACGUCCCUGCCCUUUGUACACACCGCCCGUCGCUCCUACCGAUUGAGUGGUCCGGUGAGGCUUUGGGAUCUGGGCGGAAAGAGCGUUUCGCUGUUUCUGCCCGGAAAACUCAGUCGAACCUUAUCAUUUAGAGGAAGGAGAAGUCGUAACA